UGGGGAAUUUUGGACAAUGGGCGCAAGCCUGAUCCAGCCAUGCCGCGUGAGUGAAGAAGGCCUUCGGGUUGUAAAGCUCUUUCGGCAGGAACGAAAUGGUUCGUGCUAAUACCACGGACUGAUGACGGUACCUGAAGAAGAAGCACCGGCUAACUACGUGCCAGCAGCCGCGGUAAUACGUAGGGUGCAGGCGUUAAUCGGAAUUACUGGGCGUAAAGCGUGCGCAGGCGGUUUCUUAAGUCAGAUGUGAAAGCCCCGGGCUUAACCUGGGAACUGCGUUUGAAACUGGGAGACUUGAGUGUGGCAGAGGGGGGUGGAAUUCCACGUGUAGCAGUGAAAUGCGUAGAUAUGUGGAGGAACACCGAUGGCGAAGGCAGCCCCCUGGGUUAACACUGACGCUCAUGCACGAAAGCGUGGGGAGCAAACAGGAUUAGAUACCCCCGUAGUCC
rnacentral:rRNA from 1 species